AGCAACUCUUGAAAUCCAAUCAUUAUGAGCUUUGCAACCCUUAUUAACUUGUGCGUGAUUGUUUUAAUUGCACUCUGUCAGCCACAAACACCUGUUUGUCCUAAUCCUGGUAAAGAAUAAUCCCAAUUUAUUUCAUAAAUAGGUAUAAUCUUGUAAACCUUUUUAAAUAAAAAGUAUUGCCAUCGAA